rnacentral:rRNA from 1 species
GACGAACGCUGGCGGCGUGCUUAACACAUGCAAGUCGAACGGAAAGGCCCUGCUUUUGUGGGGUGCUCGAGUGGCGAACGGGUGAGUAACACGUGAGUACCUGCCCUUGACUUUGGGAUAACUUCAGGAAACUGGGGCUGAUACCGGAUAGGAGCUCCUGCUGCAUGGUGGGGGUUGGAAAGUUUCGGCGGUUGGGGAUGGACUCGCGGCUUAUCAGCUUGUUGGUGGGGUAGUGGCUUACCAAGGCUUUGACGGGUAGCCGGCCUGAGAGGGUGACCGGCCACAUUGGGACUGAGAUACGGCCCAGACUCCUACGGGAGGCAGCAGUGGGGAAUAUUGCACAAUGGGCGGAAGCCUGAUGCAGCAACGCCGCGUGCGGGAUGACGGCCUUCGGGUUGUAAACCGCUUUCGCCUGUGACGAAGCGUGAGUGACGGUAAUGGGUAAAGAAGCACCGGCUAACUACGUG